UGGGGAAUUUUGGACAAUGGACGAAAGUCUGAUCCAGCCAUGCCGCGUGCGGGAAGAAGGCCUUCGGGUUGUAAACCGCUUUUGUCAGGGAAGAAAAGCGCUGGGCUAAUACCCCGGCGUCAUGACGGUACCUGAAGAAUAAGCACCGGCUAACUACGUGCCAGCAGCCGCGGUAAUACGUAGGGUGCAAGCGUUAAUCGGAAUUACUGGGCGUAAAGCGUGCGCAGGCGGCUUUGCAAGACAGAUGUGAAAUCCCCGGGCUCAACCUGGGAACUGCAUUUGUGACUGCAAGGCUAGAGUACGGUAGAGGGGAGUGGAAUUCCGCGUGUAGCAGUGAAAUGCGUAGAUAUGCGGAGGAACACCGAUGGCGAAGGCAGCUCCCUGGACCUGUACUGACGCUCAUGCACGAAAGCGUGGGGAGCAAACAGGAUUAGAUACCCUGGUAGUCCACGCCCUAAACGAUGUCAACUGGUUGUUGGGAGGGUUUCUUCUCAGUAACGUAGCUAACGCGUGAAGUUGACCGCCUGGGGAGUACGGCCGCAAGGUUG
rnacentral:rRNA from 1 species